rnacentral:tRNA from 1 species
GAGGACCUGCACAACUCUAAGUACAUCUUCUGACUGCAACUCAGACACUUUCAUUAAGCUAAAGCCCC